rnacentral:rRNA from 1 species
GACGAACGCUGGCGGCGUGCCUAAUACAUGCAAGUAGAACGCUGAAGGAGGAGCUUGCUCUUCUGGAUGAGUUGCGAACGGGUGAGUAACGCGUAGGUAACCUGCCUGGUAGCGGGGGAUAACUAUUGGAAACGAUAGCUAAUACCGCAUAAUAGUAGAUGUUGCAUGACAUUUGCUUAAAAGGUGCAAUUGCAUCACUACCAGAUGGACCUGCGUUGUAUUAGCUAGUUGGUGGGGUAACGGCUCACCAAGGCGACGAUACAUAGCCGACCUGAGGGGGUGAUCGGCCACACUGGGACUGAGACACGGCCCAGACUCCUACGGGAGGCAGCAGUAGGGAAUCUUCGGCAAUGGACGGAAGUCUGACCGAGCAACGCCGCGUGAGUGAAGGAGGUUUUCGGAUCGUAAAGCUCUGUUGUAAGAGAAGAACGAGUGUGAGAGUGGAAAGUUGCACACUGUGAACGGUUAUCUUACCGAA